AGAGUUUGAUCCUGGCUCAGGAUGAACGCUGGCGGCGUGCUUAACACAUGCAAGUCGAGCGAGAUUUUGUAAACCAAUCUUCGGAGGAAGUUUACAGAUGAAAGCAACGCGUGGGCAACCUACCUUAUACAAAGGGAUAGCCUCGGGAAACUGGGAUUAAUACCUUAUAACACUUAAGAGUCGCAUGACUUUUAAGUCAAAGAUUUAUCGGUAUAAGAUGGGCCUGCGUCUGAUUAGCUAGUUGGUAAGGUAACGGCUUACCAAGGCGACGAUCAGUAGCCGACCUGAGAGGGUGAUCGGCCACACUGGAACUGAGACACGGUCCAGACUCCUACGGGAGGCAGCAGUGGGGAAUAUUGCACAAUGGGCGAAAGCCUGAUGCAGCAACGCCGCGUGAGCGAUGAAGGCCUUCGGGUCGUAAAGCUCUGUCAGUGGGGAAGAAAAGAAAACGGUUCCCCAGGAAUAAGCCACGGCUAACUACGUGCCAGCAGCCGCGGUAAUACGGAGGGUGCAAGCGUUGUCCGGAAUUACUGGGUGUAAAGGGCGUGUAGGCGGGAAUGCAAGUCAGAUGUGAAAUGCCGAGGCUUAACCUCGGAGCUGCAUCUGAAACUGUGUUUCUUGAGUGUCGGAGAGGAAAGUGGAAUUCCCAGUGUAGCGGUGAAAUGCGUAGAUAUUGGGAGGAACACCAGUGGCGAAGGCGACUUUCUGGACGAUAACUGACGCUGAGGCGCGAAAGCGUGGGGAGCAAACAGGAUUAGAUACCCUGGUAGUCCACGCCGUAAACGAUGGAUACUAGGUGUCGGGGGUCAAAGCCUCGGUGCCGCAGUUAACACAAUAAAUACUCCGCCUGGGGAGUACGGUCGCAAGACUGAAACUCAAAGGAAUUGACGGGACCCCGCACAAGUAGCGGAGCAUGUGGUUUAAUUCGAAGCAACGCGAAGAACCUUACCAGGUCUUGACAUCCUCUGACGAUGCUAGAGAUAGUAUUUUCCUUUCGGGGACAGAGAGACAGGUGGUGCAUGGUUGUCGUCAGCUCGUGUCGUGAGAUGUUGGGUUAAGUCCCGCAACGAGCGCAACCCUUGUGUUUAGUUGCCAGCGGUAAGGCCGGGCACUCUAAACAGACUGCCGUAGAUAAUACGGAGGAAGGUGGGGAUGACGUCAAAUCAUCAUGCCCCUUAUGACCUGGGCUACACACGUGCUACAAUGGGAUGUACAGAGGGUAGCGAAAUAGUGAUAUGGAGCCAAUCUCAAAAAACAUUUCUCAGUUCGGAUUGCAGGCUGCAACUCGCCU
rnacentral:rRNA from 1 species